ensembl:lncRNA
AAAAAGUGCAUGGCCAAUAAUGCUUUUAUGGGCUGAUUAAUUUGCAGAGGUUGAGUUUGAUUGCCACUGAAGCAGAAAGCAUUAUAGAUUCUCUGUUAUUCUUCAAGCCACUUGGCUAAAGUCUACAGUUCUGUCUCUAUGUAUUUAUCUACCUUUCCACAUGGCGCUUAGCACCGGAGCUUUGGGCCUCUCCUAAACAUAUUGUGAAAAUCUUUUGUGCUGAAUUCUCAAGUCUUGCUGUGAAUAGGAGAUAGAAACUUGAAAGUUUUCAGCAUCUGUAAAGUGAAAGAAAGCGACAGAAGGCAUAGCACUGUUUGGAUUUGUUGCUCUAGAAAAAGCUGAAGAUGAAUGAUCUGUAAAUAUUUCUGCUUUUAGUGCUUUUAACCAGCUCUGUUCUUAUCUGCUGCUUGGCUCUCCUUUUAGUAUGAGUUUUUCUUAUCCUUUUUAUAGCCACAUUAUGGUUUUUUAAUGGAGAUG